rnacentral:piRNA from 1 species
AAUGUCAAAAUGUCUCACGUGC